UGGUUAUAGUUAGAGAUUUUUAAAUGAUUUUGUUUAUUUUUAUCAUUUCUUUAUUUAUGCUUUCUGUCUUUUAUUUUAUUUGUAUUUUUGUGGCAUGCCUACUUCAUUGAGCAGUGUCAGUAGACGGGAAACACAGCAGAGAGAGGGGAUGAUCUGCAGCAAAAGGCCCAAACUGGAAUCAAACCUUGGCCAGCGUGACAUGUGGUGCAUGUACUACCAGGAGGAUGUUGGUCCUGUCAGUCCUAUUUUCUGACCUGCCAGUGGUUCAGAUGGACUUAAUCAACUAUUUUGCUGUCCUACCAGUCUACCUGUCUGAUCAGAAACCAGUCUUGUCAAGGAUAAAUAGAGAGAGGAUCCUGCAAUUCCACAGCAAACACCUGAUGACUAACCGGGGUACUCAAGCGGAACUGGUGACACUACAAUUACAUACUUUUCCCAAAGAAUGUCUAAAUGCAAAACCUAUUUAUAUUUCAACAAUGUCUUUGUUUGUAAUGGGCUUUAUAUGUUAUUUUCUCUGUAAUUAACCACGGGCAGUUGGUUGUAAAAUCUUAGCCACUGGUGUUCUAUUUUUUUCUGGGUGAAGUUCUGGCAACAACAGCUGCCACUGUUUGAAUGUAAUGUUGAUUUUUACAAUUAAAUACUGUUAUGUAUCACA